rnacentral:rRNA from 1 species
AGAGUUUGAUCCUGGCUCAGAUUGAACGCUGGCGGCAUGCCUUACACAUGCAAGUCGAACGAGAAGCCACCUUCGGGUGGUGGACAGUGGCAGACGGGUGAGUAACGCGUGGGAACGUGCCUUUCGGUUCGGGAUAACCCAGGGAAACUUGGGCUAAUACCGGAUACGCCCUUCGGGGGAAAGAUUCAUUGCCGAAAGAUCGGCCCGCGUCGGAUUAGCUAGUUGGUGGGGUAAUGGCCUACCAAGGCGACGAUCCGUAGCUGGUCUGAGAGGAUGACCAGCCACACUGGGACUGAGACACGGCCCAGACUCCUACGGGAGGCAGCAGUGGGGAAUAUUGGACAAUGGGCGCAAGCCUGAUCCAGCCAUGCCGCGUGGGUGAAGAAGGCCUUAGGGUUGUAAACCCCUUUCAGCGGGGAAGAUAAUGACGGUACCCGCAGAAGA